AUUGAACGCUGGCGGCAUGCCUUACACAUGCAAGUCGAACGGCAGCACGGGCUUCGGUCUGGUGGCGAGUGGCGAACGGGUGAGUAAUGUAUCGGAACGUACCUUUCAGUGGGGGAUAACGUAGCGAAAGUUACGCUAAUACCGCAUAUUCUGUGAGCAGGAAAGCAGGGGAUCGCAAGACCUUGCGCUGAUUGAGCGGCCGAUAUCAGAUUAGCUAGUUGGUGAGGUAAAGGCUCACCAAGGCGACGAUCUGUAGCGGGUCUGAGAGGAUGAUCCGCCACACUGGAACUGAGACACGGUCCAGACUCCUACGGGAGGCAGCAGUGGGGAAUUUUGGACAAUGGGGGCAACCCUGAUCCAGCCAUGCCGCGUGAGUGAAGAAGGCCUUCGGGUUGUAAAGCUCUUUCGGCCGGGAAGAAAUCGCAUGGGUUAAUACCCUGUGCGGAUGACGGUACCGGCAUAAGAAGCACCGGCUAACUACGUGCCAGCCGCCGCUGUAAUAC
rnacentral:rRNA from 1 species